UACAAAUGACCUGAUCUGCAAGGAUGCUGGGCACCUGCUACUACCAACUUGUAUUUGGAUGCUGGUCUACAGGAAACUCAAUUUUCAGAUUGACCUUUAAUUUUUUUUUCUGGCCAUUGAAGAGCUUCUGAUGCAGCCAUAGUGGCCUCUUACUAUUCUUCCUAUCUUUCCUUCACAUCCGGAUAGUUUGCUGUUGGGAUCCUGUUGAUCCUUCUCAAUCCUCUCAAAGGCCCAUAAGCUACCUGGAUAUAGAUUACUGCUCAUGGAAAUUGGCACCCUCUGACUGAAGAAGAAAAUACCUGCCCUCUCACUUUAUAAGCCUCUACCAAAGUUCCAGAGCUUACUCCUCUGCAUCACACACAGAAGCAAGAGGGAGCAGAGGCAUUGGUCUGGGCUGGAAGAUUAUUUGUAAGAUCAUAGUCAAAGUAACAGAUAACAUUGCCAUAAUGUGUAGGCAAUAAAAUGGCCUUGCUAA